GAUGAACGCUAGCUACAGGCUUAACACAUGCAAGUCGAGGGGUAACGAGAGGAAAGCUUGCUUUCCUUGUCGACGACCGGCGCACGGGUGAGUAACGCGUAUCCAACCUGCCCCCAACUAGGGAAUAACCUUGCGAAAGUAAGACUAAUACCCUAUAAUUUCCUCAGAUGACAUCUGACGAGGAAUAAAGAUUUAUCGGUUGUGGAUGGGGAUGCGUCUGAUUAGCUUGUUGGCGGGGUAACGGCCCACCAAGGCAACGAUCAGUAGGGGUUCUGAGAGGAAGGUCCCCCACAUUGGAACUGAGACCGGGUCCAACCUCUUACGGGAAGCAGCAGUGAGGCAUAUUGCACAAUGGGUGGAAGCCUGAACCAGCCAAGUAGCGUGCAGGAUGACGGACCUAUGGGUUGUAAACUGCUUUUAUACAGGAAUAAAGUUAGCCACGUGUGGUUAUUUGUAGGUACUGUAUGAAUAAGGACCGGCUAAUUCCGUGCCAGCCGCCGCGGUAA
rnacentral:rRNA from 1 species